AUGUCUGGCCUGGAGGCGGCCACGGGACAGGCGGCCCCCUCACCACCUGGAGGGCCCUCCCCCUGGCAUGCUGCAGGGCGCCCAGCGCCAACCCAGACAUGCGCCGACCAAGCCCUCUGGGCAGCACCUGCACUGCCGCACUGGGGCGCUCCUCCGAGCCCGUCUCCUCCGGUUAGAAGGCGGCUCCAGGCUGUGCAGCGGAACCCCUGGGAGGGAGGCUGCUCCUGCGGGGAUCCAGGCCCAGGGGGCCGAGUUACAGGGUUGAAUGGGCGGGGGCACGACACGGAAACGAGAGGGGGGCCCAGAGGUGGGGAGCCGGGGGNNNNNNNNNNNNNNNNNNNNNNNNNNNNNNNNNNNNNNNNNNNNNNNNNNNNNNNNNNNNNNNNNNNNNNNNNNNNNNNNNNNNGGGCCCGGGGGCGGGGCUGCCCGGCCGUCGGGCAGGCUGCCAGUGACGCUGGGGCAGCAUCUGCCCUCCAGGGAAGCAGUCGUCAGAGUCAUCAGAACAGCCCCAGGUCCCGCGGCCCAUUGUGCACCAGGUUCCAGGUCCACACGGGCACUGGGGCCUCUGGAAUGGGCAGACUGAGCAACAGGCCAUGGAAGAGACCCAAGAAAGCAGACAGUCACGGCUGGGCUUCCCACGCAGUCCAAGGGUGCCACCCUCGCACCUGAGGGCCAGCAGAGCAAGGAGACAGCUCAGCGCCACCGGGGAAGCCCGAGCCGGAGAGCAUGGCCGCCUCCAGCCCUCCCGCUCAGUGGGGUGCAGAACAGGACAGCUGGGCCACAGCCACUGCCUGGCAUCCAGGCAGGGGAUUCGGCAGAACCAGACGCACGAGGCGCCUGGGCCAGGAACAGCCUGAGGACUGAUAACCCCACCCGCCUGUCAGACACCCCAGAAACCAAGCUCUGCUCCUGAAGGGGGCCCCAGGCCCCGCCAGUGAACGGAGUGGACAGGGUCAGUCGAGCACCCAGCCUCCCAGGGUCUUGCAGCACGGCCGGCAGGCUGUGGGGUGAGCCUCCUGCCAGCCUGGGUGUCCCAUGCCCAGUCCUGUGUGGCUCAAAGUCCCCCUGUCACCGAACCUGCUCUUCCUCAGCAGCUGCCCUGACACUUCCUCACACCCCCAACUCCGGCGUAAGACAGCCAAGAGGCCACGUCAUGGCUCAGGCUUUCAGAAGCCCCGGGAGCUGCCCUCCACUCCCAGUAACGCGGGUCCCACUGGCCUGUCGCCUCACCAGCAGCCCGCACUGCACCCCACUCCCUAAGGCUGCUCAAGGGCCCCACAUCGGGGGAGGCCUCCCCCUGACUGGGGCCGUGGGCACCAACAACUGAAGCAGCUUCCGAGCACCCAAACCUGCUCCUCCUGGGUUCCGAGGUCUGAAAGAGCUUUCAAGCCCACAGUUCCCAAGAGGGCUCCCCAUGGCGCCUCUUCCUAGGGCGCCCCCCAGACCACCCCCAGCCUCCACGAGAACAGGCCCCUCCAGCUAACUGCCUGCUUAGGAAUCACAAGGCAGGGAACUCAGGGAGUACGCCCACAACGACAUCGCUGGCCGGGGUGGGGGGUGGGUCUAGACAGAGGGGACGGCAUGGCCACGGCUCCUGGGACAGCGGGAAGCAGGGAGGCCUGCAGGCCGGGGGGGGGGCUGGGGGCGGCCCGGGAGCAGCUUCCGAGCACCCAAACCUGCUCCUCCUGGGUUCCGAGGUCUGAAAGAGCUUUCAAGCCCACAGUUCCCAAGAGGGCUCCCCAUGGCGCCUCUUCCUAGGGCACCCCCCAGACCACCCCCAGCCUCCACGAGAACAGGCCCCUCCAGCUAACUGCCUGCUUAGGAAUCACAAGGCAGGGAACUCAGGGAGUACGCCCACAACGACAUCGCUGGCCGGGGUGGGGGGUGGGUCUAGACAGAGGGGACGGCAUGGCCACGGCUCCUGGGACAGCGGGAAGCAGGGAGGCCUGCAGGCAGGUAGAGAGUCUGGGACUGCCCUGUGCUGUCUCGAGGCUGGUGGAAGGCUCACACCUGGCCAGCAGGAAAGAGCCCGCCAGAUCGCCAAUGACGGCCCUGUCACCUCUGGACACCACCUUUUCUGAACAUCAGCCUAUCUGAGCUGUUCCCUUGAUGACACCUAUGGUCCUAGAGACGGUGAGACCACAACAGCAUCAGGAGGACUGAGGAUGGGCACGCAGACCCCCAGGGCCACCAGGAGAAGCUCCACCACCUGCGGGAAGCAGGGGGAUGGCUGCCAGGCCAGAGGUGCUCCCAGAGGGGUGCUCCCAGCAGACGCCAGGGGCACGGCAGCUCCCACACUGGCCCCACACACCCUGCGGAAGGUCCGAGACCUAAAGCAGAGCCGGCGAGAUGCUGCCUGCAAAGAGGCGGAUGAAAGCAAGCAUCAUGGCAGGAGGCUGGGCCCCCUCACCCCGCCCAGACCUCAGUUCUCAGGGGAAAACCCAGGGGGGGCUGGUUCUAGGGGGUGCCUCCUUGUCAAGAGAAGUGGGGACCCUCUGCCCUCCACCCCCUCCACAGAGGAUCCACAGUGCCUACCGUGCAGCAGAGCUGCCAGGCACAUCAGCCCUAAGGACGAGAAGAAAAAUGACCUGCCCACCUUGCCCCGCAUGAAGGGACCCAGGCUGGGCCAGGGCGGGCACCAGGCCAGGGGCCUCUGUGUAGGAGUCUCUCAGGAAGGACAAAAAUGGGGCUCAACUCCUUGACGUCAGCCUAGAAGACACACGGCUCCAACCAUAAAGACAGCCAGAGACACACUGCGACCUGCCCCUGCACCCACACCUCCCCCAGCACCCCAGAUCUCCACCUCGCCCUGCAGGCUCCCUGCACCCCCAGUUCUCACUGGGACAGGGCUCAUGUGGUGCCACCCUGGGCCCACUGCAGUCAGUGCUCUGGCCGGUCCCAGCCCAGGACCUGCAGGUACAGGGCGUGCGGUGACCAGGCCUGGCCCUCCCGCUCCCACCACAGGAGGACAAAGGCUCAGGACAAACCACACUGACGAGGGCCUUCUCCUGGAGGAGGCAGACGCCCCGCCCCCGCACUCGCUCAGUGGGAGCUGCCAGGGACCGCAGCCCCCAGCGCUCUAACAAGCUUCAAACGGGGGAUGACGGGGAUCGCAAAGUAUGAAUUUUUAUGAGUCUAAUAAAUCACUCCACUUUUCCUGUGCCUGAUGGCUGCUGGCACUUCAAACGGUGGACAAGCCCUGCCACAGUCAGUGGCUCGGCCGCGUCCCCGCAGGCAGUCACACCGGGGCCUGGGUAUGGGGGAGAGGUGGGGGGGGAGGGUAGAGGAUGGGGGAAGGGAUGGGGCUGCCGAGGCCCCUCCCGGCUCCCCCAGCACCC
rnacentral:lncRNA from 1 species